CCAGACUCCUACGGGAGGCAGCAGUGGGGAAUAUUGCACAAUGGGCGAAAGCCUGAUGCAGCCAUACCGCGUGUGUGAAGAAGGCUCUAGGGUUGUAAAGCACUUUCAGUAGGGAGGAAAGGUUGUAGCUUAAUACGCUAUAGCUGUGACGUUACCUACAGAAGAAGGACCGGCUAACUCCGUGCCAGCAGCCGCGGUAAUACGGAGGGUCCGAGCGUUAAUCGGAAUUACUGGGCGUAAAGCGUACGUAGGUGGUUUGUUAAGUUGGAUGUGAAAGCCCAGGGCUCAACCUUGGAACUGCAUUCAAAACUGAUGAACUAGAAUAUGGUAGAGGUAAGUGGAAUUUCCUGUGUAGCGGUGAAAUGCGUAGAGAUGGGAAGGAACAUCAGUGGCGAAGGCGACUUACUGGACCAAUAUUGACACUGAGGUACGAAAGCGUGGGUAGCAAACAGGAUUAGAUACCCUGGUAGUCCACGCCGUAAACGAUGUCUACUAGCCGUUGGGAUCCUUGAGAUCUUAGUGGCGCAGCUAACGCACUAAGUAGACCGCCUGGGGAGUACGGUCGCAAGAUUAAAACUCAAAUGAAUUGACGGGGGCCCGCACAAGCGGUGGAGCAUGUGGUUUAAUUCGAAGCAACGCGAAGAACCUUACCUACUCUUGACAUCCACAGAACUUUUCAGAGAUGAAUUGGUGCCUUCGGGAACUGUGAGACAGGUGCUGCAUGGCUGUCGUCAGCUCGUGUUGUGAAAUGUUGGGUUAAGUCCCGUAACGAGCGCAACCCUUGUCCUUAGUUACCAUCAUUUAGUUGGGUACUCUAAGGAGACUGCCGGUGACAAACCGGAGGAAGGCGGGGACGACGUCAAGUCAUCAUGGCCCUUACGAGUAGGGCUACACACGUGCUACA
rnacentral:rRNA from 1 species